UCUAACAAUGACCAUAGCCUUUCAACACCACGAUCGACUCACAUUCAACUGUAAUCGAAGUUGUGGUUGUGAUGGUAAUAAGCAGCACAAAUUGUAAUAGUGUUUGACAUCAAUGGUGCUUGUGAUGGUGCCGGUUGUAUUAGAUUAGAUAAAAUACAGAAAUUUAGCCUAUGUUUGUCUCAUGAUAACGAAUACUUUACAAACACUUUGAAUCAUUUUUUAUUCAUACAUUUCGAAUAAUCUACAAAAUGCUUUUGACAAAAUGGGCAAAUAGGCAUUAUGAUACACCAAAUCCAGCUCUAUUAUUUCGAUUAUGUCUGGCCGGCCCUACGGGUCAUUAAUUUCUAUUAUUCACAAUUCAUUGAUGCGCAAAUGAGAAAGCACACAUAGAAGUCACUUGAAUACGUACAAUUAUGCAAAUGCGACAAAUUACUAGCCAUUCUUUAAAAGUAUUUCACAAUUAAUGUGCUAUGUUACUCGGAUAUUGUUACUUACUAUUUUGAAUAUAUACUUACAUUAAAAUUUAAAAUAUUUCUUACGAAAGUAUUUAUGUGGCAUUAUGUCCAAAUUUCUUGAAUUCUGUCAAUUUACUCAAGUAAUACCCACUAAAACAACCCAUCCAUUCCUUUAAAGAGAGAACCUUAAAUAUGUGUUUUAUUACAAAAGCAAAGUCACGAGAAGCAAAUUAAAAGGAGUUUUGCAGCACUAACAUAGGGGAUGAUCGAAUACACACACAUGGGGAGUUGGACAUUUUUUAAUUCAAGCAAGACCCACGCGCAAUGCGAGAGUCGAUCAACCAAGGUGUCAAAAUUUUUGGGCAAACCAGCUUUAUUCUAAAAGAAGUUGAAUUAAUUCUACUUGGGAGGUGUGGGUGUAGGUGGACCAUAGACCUGAGGAAAGUCUAGUAGAUUAUUAUCGACCCCUAUUCCUACCAAUCAAGUAACAAGCAAUGGCUACGAUUAAGAUGAAUAGUAUAACUGGAAAUGAUAUAUAGAACACAUACUCCAUCUUCAAAUCUUUCUUGUGUACUCUCCUGCACUUGAUGAAGAAACAAUAGUGAACCAUUCUUCCUAGUUAGUACCCAUAAUAAUCAAAAUAAUUCUUAAAAGUGUGAGCAACAAUAACGAAAAUUUCUUAUUU
rnacentral:lncRNA from 1 species